CAAGUGGGAUGGCGGCGGCGGCAGGAAAAUGGGCAGGGCGGGGAUGGUUGUUUCCAGGAACAAAGCAGGCAGGAUGCUGUGCAGGACUGCCAUGAAGAUGACUUAUUCUCCUCCUUCCAUGAAAUCAAAUGGGCCGAGCACCUGCACCUUUACUUUACCACUAAUCCAGCUCCUCAUCAUCACUAUCCAUGGACACUGUAAAGGCCUCUGAUCUGCUCCCCUGGACAUCUGAAUUCCCCUGUUUACUACCUCGUCCUAGUUCUCUUGGUUUUCUGUCAUCAGUCUGCACUCCCCUGCACAUGGAAUUAUUUGUACAGCACAUUUGACUUAUUUUUGCCGAGAAGGUUGUUUUCAUUCCUGUUUGUCUGAUAGUCUGAUCGCUGGAUUAGAGAAAAACUAGUAAAACUUGGUAGUAGGAUGGUGUAUGGGUCAAGUGAGUACCCAUUAACUUUUGGCGCAACAUUGAAAUUAGAUGUUUAAGUGUUCAAUCAGCCCUGGUGAAAGUACCCCCUUCUACCCUUGUGGAUGAUAUAUUCCUUCAACACUGAAUCUGUUUGAUUGUCUCCACACUUUUGAGUCUCUUAA